rnacentral:misc_RNA from 1 species
AAAGCAGUGGAUUCAGCAGCAAAUGUCCAGCCCAAAAAUGUAGAAGAUGUUUGGAAUUUGAGAGGGAUACUUAACACAUCAUGGCAUCGGGUUCAAGUCCGAGUUGGUCACUCAAACAUGUAGACCAUGACUGGGUUUUGUUUUCCUUAUUGGUACUAGAAGAACAUUCCUAAUGCUUUCAAAGUGUUGAAUGCUCAGUUGCUUAAGCUUUUUGUUUUGCAUCUGUAUGGCCUUGUUACCUUUUAGCAUCAGUGCGACAACUAUCCUUCACUUGUCAUAAUCUGUGUUGAUCAAAAUAACUUGUGCUAGGGAGAACAUUACG